rnacentral:rRNA from 1 species
AAUGAACGCUGGCGGCAGGCCUAAAACAUGCAAGUCGAACGCCCUAGCAAUAGGGAGUGGCGCACGGGUGAGUAACAUGUGGGAAUAUGCCCUUUGGUACGGAACAACGUUUGGAAACGAACGCUAAUACCGUAUGGUCCCUCCGGGGUAAAGGUUUAUCGCCAAAAGAUUAGCCCGCACUAGAUUAGCUAGUUGGUAAGGUAAUGGCUUACCAAGGCGACGAUCUAUAGCUGUUCUGAGAGGAAGAUCAGCCACACUGGGACUGAGACACGGCCCAGACUCCUACGGGAGGCAGCAGUUAGGAAUAUUGGACAAUGGGCGCAAGCCUGAUCCAGCCAUGCCGCGUGAGUGAUGAAGGCCUUCGGGUUGUAAAGCUCUUUAGCCGACGAAUAUAAUGACUGUAGUCGGAGAAUAAGCCCCGGCUAACUUCGUGCCAGCCGCCGCGGUAAUAC